rnacentral:rRNA from 1 species
GUAAGGAAUAUUGGACAAUGGACGCAAGUCUGAUCCAGCCAUGCCGCGUGAAGGAUUAAGGUCCUCUGGAUUGUAAACUUCUUUUAUAAGGGACGAAAAAAGGCUUUUCUAAGUCGUCUGACGGUACCUUAUGAAUAAGCACCGGCUAACUCCGUGCCAGCAGCCGCGGUAAUACGGAGGGUGCAAGCGUUAUCCGGAUUCACUGGGUUUAAAGGGUGCGUAGGCGUGCAGGUAAGUCAGUGGUGAAAUCCUAGAGCUUAACUCUAGAACUGCCAUUGAUACUAUCUGUCUUGAAUAUUGUGGAGGUAAGCGGAAUAUGUCAUGUAGCGGUGAAAUGCUUAGAUAUGACAUAGAACACCUAUUGCGAAGGCAGCUUACUACGCAUAUAUUGACGCUGAGGCACGAAAGCGUGGGGAUCAAACAGGAUUAGAUACCCGUGUAGUCC